rnacentral:rRNA from 1 species
GAGCGCACUCUUCGGAGUGAGCGGCGGACGGGUUAGUAACGCGUGGGAACGUGCCCUUCUCUAAGGAAUAGCCUCUGGAAACGGAGAGUAAUACCUUAUACGCCCUUUGGGGGAAAGAUUUAUCGGAGAAGGAUCGGCCCGCGUUAGAUUAGAUAGUUGGUGGGGUAAUGGCCUACCAAGUCUACGAUCUAUAGCUGGUUUGAGAGGAUGAUCAGCAACACUGGGACUGAGACACGGCCCAGACUUCUACGGAAGGCAGCAGUGGGGAAUCUUGGACAAUGGGCGCAAGCCUGAUCCAGCCAUGCCGCGUGAGUGAUGAAGGCCUUAGGG